AUUGAACGCUGGCGGCAGGCCUAACACAUGCAAGUCGAGCGGCUGAAGGGAGCUUGCUCCUGGAUUCAGCGGCGGACGGGUGGGUAAUGCCUAGGAAUCUGCCUGUUAGUGGGGGAUAACGUCCGGAAACGGGCGCUAAUACCGCAUACGUCCUUAGGGAGAAAGUGUGGGAUCUUCGGACCUCACGCUAUCAGAUGAGCCUAGGUCGGAUUAGCUAGUUGGUGGGGUAAAGGCCUACCAAGGCGACGAUCCGUAACUGGUCUGAGAGGAUGAUCAGUCACACUGGAACUGAGACACGGUCCAGACUCCUACGGGAGGCAGCAGUGGGGAAUAUUGGACAAUGGGCGAAAGCCUGAUCCAGCCAUGCCGCGUGUGUGAAGAAGGUCUUCGGAUUGUAAAGCACUUUAAGUUGGGAAGAAGAGCAGUAAGUUAAUACCUUGCUGUUUUGACGUUACCAACAGAAUAAGCACCGGCUAACUUCGUG
rnacentral:rRNA from 1 species